GAUGAACGCUGGCGGUAUGCCUUACACAUGCAAGUCGUACGAGAGUUUUUAACUCAGGUGGCGGACGGGUGAGUAACACGUAAGAAUUUACCUUUAGGAGGGGGAUAACAACUGGAAACGGUUGCUAAUACCCCAUAUGCUUUCGAGUGAAAUGGGUUUCCGCCUAAAGAAAAGCUUGCGGCUGAUUAGCUUGUUGGUGAGGUAAUGGCUCACCAAGGCGACGAUCAGUAUCUGGUUUGAGAGGAUGAUCAGACACACUGGGACUGAGAUACGGCCCAGACUCCUACGGGAGGCAGCAGUGGGGAAUAUUGCACAAUGGGCGCAAGCCUGAUGCAGCGACGCCGCGUGAGGGAUGACGGCCUUCGGGUUGUAAACCUCUUUCAGCUAUGACGAAGCGCAAGUGACGGUAGUAGCAGAAGAAGGACCGGCCAACUACGUGCCAGCCGCCGCCGUAAAAC
rnacentral:rRNA from 1 species